UGGGGAAUAUUGCACAAUGGGCGCAAGCCUGAUGCAGCCAUGCCGCGUGUAUGAAGAAGGCCUUCGGGUUGUAAAGUACUUUCAGUCGGGAGGAAGGUGGUAAGGUUAAUAACCUUAUCAAUUGACGUUACCGACAGAAGAAGCACCGGCUAACUCCGUGCCAGCAGCCGCGGUAAUACGGAGGGUGCAAGCGUUAAUCGGAAUUACUGGGCGUAAAGCGCACGCAGGCGGUUGAUUGAGUCAGAUGUGAAAUCCCCGGGCUUAACCCGGGAAUUGCAUCUGAUACUGGUCAGCUAGAGUCUUGUAGAGGGGGGUAGAAUUCCAUGUGUAGCGGUGAAAUGCGUAGAGAUGUGGAGGAAUACCGGUGGCGAAGGCGGCCCCCUGGACAAGACUGACGCUCAGGUGCGAAAGCGUGGGGAGCAAACAGG
rnacentral:rRNA from 1 species